rnacentral:rRNA from 1 species
CGCGUAGGCGGCUUUAUAAGUCUGGAGUGAAAGUCCUCUUUUCAAGGGAGGAAUUGCUUUGGAAACUAUAGAGCUUGAGUGCAGGAGAGGUUAUCGGAAUUCCCGGUGUAGCUGUGAAAUGCGUAGAUAUCGGGAGGAACAUCGGUGGCGAAGGCGGGUAACUGGACUGCAACUGACGCUGAGGCGCGAAAGUGUGGGGAGCAAACA